GGUCGUAUGGUCCAAUUGGUAAGAUACUAUGCAUGUGCUGCUGAAAGGCUACUGGCAUAGUGAUGCUGGUUCGAGUCCGGUUGCGGCCG